GCCUCGAUGGCGCCGUAGGCAGCGCGUGAGUCUCAUAAUCUCAAGGUCGUGAGUUCGAUCCUCACUCGGGGCA
rnacentral:tRNA from 1 species